rnacentral:lncRNA from 1 species
GGAAGUCGAUAUGGUUGCAGUUGCCGCUAUCAACGCUGUUGCUAAGGUGAACCCGACGUCCCCAUCCGGCAUCAACCAAAUGAAUCAUCCAACCUCAAAUAUGAUAGGCAAAGAUUUGGGAAGUACGGAUGACCCCAUGAUGUGCAAAUUCAAAACGAGCACGCCUUCCCAUCAUAUGGCUUGUCUCCCAACUAUACACCACCCAAUGUGGCAUACACUCUCAAUGAAAAUCUCAAUAACUCCAC